GUCAGUAGAAAUGUUGAAUAUCAUUUGUGAUAAGAAAAGUAGUCUGCUUAAAAAGUCCUGUAGAAAAUACAUGAUAGAAUGCCGCGACGUGAUGCAUCAAAUGUUACCGCUAUGGACAAAAGGAGGGUAAAUAAUGACAAAGUCGCCGAUUUCUUUAAGAAUCUAAAGAAAUUCCUGCUAACAAUGUCCAGAGACAAAAUUGACUUAAAUGCAGUAACUAUGUGUAAACAGAAGCCUGAUGAAUCCAUCCUAGUAUUCAUAAAACGCUUUAUGCACUGUUGGACAAGCUAGAGGUGCAAAUUUAGCUCAGUUUUCCAGCAGCCGCAGACACCCAAAGCAAAAAUGAAUUUGUGUAUUUAAUUUAACAUAAAGGGUGAAAUGUUUGCUGACACUGAUAACAGCUUAUGUUUUCUCUGCCCUAUGUACCGACAUGAUGGAGAAGGAACAUCCUCUGUGUCAGCUGGACCCUCAGCAGAGAAUGAACUCAACAUCCUUUUUGUCCGGUACUCUAUGUCACACACUGUGCCAAAAAAACGUGUACAGACGCCACUACCAGACUUUUUCAGGCUAUACAGCUGCCAUCGGCCGUUGCAGUUGUAAAAACGAAAGGACACAGUACAGCUGACACAGACGAAGCAACAGGUAAUGCCUUAGCAGACGUGACAGCCAAGGCUGCAGCUGCAUCACAGCUCCCACCGCCGCAGGAAGUAUUAUCUGUGCCCCUACAGCUGCCACUUGUUACACUCCCAGACUAUUUAGACACAAAUGUUGAUUUAAAAUUCAUACAAGAGCAAGCCUCUGCAUAGAAUAAUGACUGUACCUUAGAAGACAGAGAUGGCUUAUACAAAAUCUUAAGGGUUUGAUUGCCCUCCCAUAUUCCCUGAUGCCAGUCCUUGCCCGACAUUUUCACUGUGUGAGUCAUGUCGGACAAAGAGGGGUAAUAGGGGCAAUAAAAUCAAGAUUUGUAAUUGAGAAAACAUCACAUGCAGUAAAAAGCAUAUUAGCAACCUGCCUAACAUGUGCAUGAACUAAUGUAGGAAAAUCAAAAGCAAAACAUCAGCAUUUACCACAACCAGAUUUUCCAUUUCAUACAUUACAAAUUGAUUUUACACAUAUGCCAGCACAAGGAAGCAUCAAGUACUUACUGGUAAUAGUGGAUCAAUUUAGUAAAUGAGUAGAAGCUUAUCCAACCUCAAAAGAAACUGCAGAAGUAGUCUGUCAAAAGUUGAGCAAUGAAAUAAUACCCAGAUUCGGAAUACCUCACCAAAUUAACAGUGAUAGAGGAUCUUCAUUCACAUGAGAAGUAAUUAAAAAAUGUGCUAAAACUUUAAUGACCUGGGUCAAAUUACUUACUCAAGUCCUGUGUGAGAUUAGAAUGACUCAAUCUGAAGUAACCAAAUUAUUUCCAUUUGAAAUAAGACUAUUUCCAAGACCAUGGUCAGCUUCCAGAGGGGCACCGCUAGUAGAAGGUGAUGUAUAUUGCAUUGUCCACUGAUGUUCACAACCUGGUAGAAAAACUGAAUAAUAACUAUCAGAAAGUUUGUCUCUCUCAGCUUUUCCCCUCCACAGUUCCACCAGUGGAGACAAGGAGACGCAUGUUGGAGAAGCCACUAAAACCAAGGACUCUCUGGGAGGCCGCGCGUGUUCCAGCCCCAGACUGUACUGGCAGUGACGAAGAACCAGCAUCCUCAUAGACGGACAACCUCAGUGGAUUCAUGCCAGCAGGGUUAAGACCAGCCCAAUCGGACCAUCUCAGGCGUCGGAUCAAGCAGACGACAUCUCCGGCGAGCCAGCGCCCGGAACUAGAGCAAAUAAACACACGGGUAGAUGACAUCUCCGGCGAGCCAGCGCCAGGAUCCAAUUUACACACACACACAAUCACUGAUUAAGACACAACGUCUGAAAGAACAACAACAAGGUACUCAAACAUCCAGCAGGAACAGAAAGCCAAAAGUACCACAUGAUGUCUAACCUGAUAAAGCCAGACUCAUUUCAUCCUGAUAAUGGAGAAAAUGAAAUGCCCAUUGUCAUCAUACGACGCUUAUUCAAUGUCUCUCGAACCUGGGACCAGGCCAGGAGACAACUGAAGAACUGUUUUUCUUAUAUACUUUCUUAUAUAUUUA
ensembl:lncRNA